CGCUUGUUUGACCUCCUCAAUGGAGCUGCAUCCUGGGAGAAGCCUUUCAGCCAUCGCGUCAUUCAACUCGGGCAAAUCUCUGUAAAACAGUUCCUUACAUGCAACAGUGAAUUGAGCAUGAACACCACGAAGAUCUUCUUGUUUCCAUGAGUCUGGAAAUACCAAAGGGAAUGACUUCGUUUCACCUCGUUUAAUACCAAUAAUUGAGUCACGAAAUCCGGGAAG
rnacentral:misc_RNA from 1 species